AUGGGGGGACCAUCCUCCAAGGCUAAAUACUCCUGACUGACCGAUAGUGAACCAGUACCGUGAGGGAAAGGCGAAAAGAACCCCUGUGAGGGGAGUGAAAUAGAACCUGAAACCGUGUACGUACAAGCAGUAGGAGCCCUUCGGGGUGACUGCGUACCUUUUGUAUAAUGGGUCAGCGACUUAAUUUUAGUAGCAAGGUUAACCGAUUAGGGGAGCCGUAGGGAAACCGAGUCUUAACUGGGCGUACAGUUGCUAGGAUUAGACCCGAAACCAGGUGAUCUAGCCAUGGGCAGGUUGAAGGUGAGGUAACACUUACUGGAGGACCGAACCGACUAAUGUUGAAAAAUUAGCGGAUGACUUGUGGCUAGGGGUGAAAGGCCAAUCAAACCUGGAGAUAGCUGGUUCUCCCCGAAAGCUAUUUAGGUAGCGCCUCGGACGAAUACUACUGGGGGUAGAGCACUGUUAAGGCUAGGGGGUCAUCCCGACUUACCAACCCUUUGCAAACUCCGAAUACCAGUAAGUACUAUCCGGGAGACACACGGCGGGUGCUAACGUCCGUCGUGGAGAGGGAAACAACCCAGACCGCCAGCUAAGGUCCCAAAGUUAUAGCUAAGUGGGAAACGAUGUGGGAAGGCUCAGACAGCCAGGAUGUUGGCUUAGAAGCAGCCAUCAUUUAAAGAAAGCGUAAUAGCUCACUGGUCGAGUCGGCCUGCGCGGAAGAUUUAACGGGGCUAAGCUAUACACCGAAGCUGCGGCAAUGCAUUUAUAUGUAUUGGGUAGGGGAGCGUUCUGUAAGCGGUUGAAGGUGCAUCGUAAGGUGUGCUGGACGUAUCAGAAGUGCGAAUGCUGACAUGAGUAACGAUAAAGGGAGUGAAAAACUCCCUCGCCGGAAGACCAAGGGUUCCUGUCCAACGUUAAUCGGGGCAGGGUGAGUCGACCCCUAAGGCGAGGCCGAAAGGCGUAGUCGAUGGGAAACGGGUUAAUAUUCCCGUACUUCUUACUAUUGCGAUGGGGGGACGGAGAAGGCUAGGUGGGCCUGGCGACGGUUGUCCAGGUUCAAGGGUGUAGGCUGUAAUCUUAGGCAAAUCCGGGAUUACACUAGGCUGAGACCCGAUGUCGAG
rnacentral:rRNA from 1 species